CUCUCUAUUCUUUCUACUCCUCUUUCCUCUUUGUAUAUUUUCUUCCUUUCUACCUGUCAGCUUGUGACAUAAAGACCUACAUUAGGGGUCAUUCCCUCUUCCAACAUUGAUUAACUCCACUUUCUCCACCUACUGCUGUACUAUAUGUCCCCUUUUCAGUUUCCUUCUUGUGUUUUUAGAAGAAUUUGUGGAAUUAGAAGAGCCUGCC
rnacentral:lncRNA from 1 species